rnacentral:misc_RNA from 1 species
AAAAGACACAAAAAAGUAUUAUUGUAAGUUAGACAAAAAGUUAUCGACACAAGAAGUUUCCCUAAAAGGAAUAAUGAUACACAGCAUCAUCAGUUUCUCGCUUCAAAAUUUUUCAAUAAAAAGCUCCCUGGCUUGUAUAUGUCAGCAAUUACAUAUGGGAUAAAAAAAAAUAUAUUAAAAAAAACAGGUGUUAGGAGAGGAGCCUCCAGAACCUCAGUGAAAUAUCACUUGUCGCUCUGAAACUCCAAUGUCUACUUUGUAUCCAAAAUUUGGAAGUUUCACCUCAUGCUUCUUUUUUCUAAUGGUUCCAGAAUUUAAAGCAACAGCCAAACAAAUCAGAAACUCGCUUUUGUUCUGGCUAUGAGUUGUUUUCCCUAAAAUUUUAAGAGGCUUCUCAAACGCAGAAAAAUGUGUCUCUUUUCAAUCAGCUGCCCCAAUAUAUUUAAUCAGUUACUUGGGGAGGUACCAAUCUUAAAUUACUCCACCUAAGAGGUUGGUACCCCUCAAAAAUAAGUGGCUUCUUCAGUCAGACUCCUUUCCAGAACCUGAUGAAGCAUCCCCAUUCAAAGAAUCCUCUCUGUUUGCCGAAUUAGGUAGACCUCCUUGAUGGUUAUCCUCAUGUGUGACGUUUUUAGGUUUCCCAGGUCUAGUUCGAACAUUAACCCCCAUUGGAAAGGGCACCUGAUCACCAGCAUUGGGGCCAUCAGUGUUGAAUAGAAUGGGUCGGCAUCGUUUAUCCUCAUUCAUCAAGCUUGAAUUCUGGAAAUGUGCAAUAAGAGCAGCUUUUCCUUGUAUGCGAGCAUAUGCAAGUGAUGCUACUUUUUCACUAUUGAACUUCUCCCAUUUCUUUCCAUUAAACACCUGAUAGAAUGGAAUUAUCUGGCUUGGGUCAAUCAUGUUGAUAAAUGCAUACCCCACAUUGCACUUAUUCUUGAAAUCAAUUGGUAGAUAAAUGAAAUCAUAAGUUCCUUUGUGGUGUUCAUCAAUUGCAGCCAAAAGCAUUUUUGAAGUAUACCUGCCAUCACCACCAGAUGACUGUUAAAUCAUAACCUUGAACCACAAAAACUUUGCCAACCAAUCCAUGUAAAUGUUAAUUUAACCCAACCCGUAGUGUCCAAUACUAUUACAAAAUCAUUGGGCAUGCCUAAGACAGAUAGUUCCAUGGAUUAAAAGUCAAUGUUUCAUAAAACAAUAAUUAAAUAGCAACUAGUAGUUAUACGGUCAGAGAAUCAAAGGUAUGCACCACACACUUGUUAGGAAUAUUCUUUAUCAUAAGUGUCGUUCGGUUGUCUUCCCCUUGCAGUAUCCGAUCUAAAUCAAGUUCAUACUGUUUCUUGUCAGCCUGAUUAAUACUGCCUUCAUUUCUACGGCUCCUGCCACGUUCACUUGGAGAGUCAAAUGAAUUGGUCAUGGGAAUCAUUUGGCUCCUGCCAGGAAAAAUUGGGGAUCUCUGAUUGUGUGGUUGGUGUCCCGCACUUUUAGGGGGAAUUGGCAAGUCCAUAUAGUUUCCAGCAACAUGAGGGAACAAGGUAGGAGAUAGAAGUUCCAUAGAGUGCAGUGAGUUAUUAGAAAUUCUCAAGCUCCCAAGGGAACCUGGAUGAAAACCAGAAGUCUCAGGAGAUUCCCCUCCAUAAGCAUGUCGCCUGGCCCAGAGAGAAGAAUUAACAGUUGGUGCUGAUCCCACAUGAUGGUUAUUUACAGGUAAAACAGCGUUAAGAACCGGAGAUGGUGCUCUAGGAGGUCCAUGCAGCCGGACUGUGGGAUGAGCCAUUGAAAUUCCAUUGACAAAGGAUGGUGGGCUUGGCCAUAUCAUGCCUGGAGAAUGCGGGUGAUAGGAGUUACCCCACGCAUAAUGAUGUCCAGGAAGAGAGGGGCUUCCAUUAAUAGUGGAUCCAAAAACUGAAAACAGGCAAGAGACGUUAAAUAAAUAUAAAAAUAAAUUGACUGAACUAAGUGAAUUCUGAUUUCCAUCCGAAAAGAAUCAUUUAAUAUGCAUAGCUUCCAAAUAUUCCUACUUUAAUAUUAGAACGUGAAGCCACCAAAAUGAACUCACAUAAGACAUCUAAACUUCAGACCACUGCAUGGAAUGAAAACUGUGGUAAGAGUAGGAUUAGACAGGUUACUUUGACUUUUCAAAUCCCAACACCAUAGGAUCAUGUCACGUAAGAACUUAACCUCAACUAAGACAUUGGAGGUAGAAGAGUUUUGAAAGUACACAACUGCAAUCAUCCCUAUCUGAUUGCAGUUAAGUAUUCUAAGAGCAAAGAAGAUAAUGCAAAUCAAACUUAGGUUUUCAGUGAGCCAAAUCACUGUUGCUUUUUCCCCCUUAAAAUUUGUGUUUUUCGUCUUACUAGAGGCUUUCACAUUAUGCUAUACAGGUAUGCAAGCAAUGGAGAGGCAAGGCGGGAAAAUAAAGGCUCUGUUAUGUUGCCAUGCUUUUUUUGGUUUGGCUAUUUUGGAAGUUAAAGGGCAACAUUAGGUGAGAAAAUAAAAGGCAACAUUUAAAAGGUUCUUUUUUUUUUAUUAUUCUUGUUAAUUUCCCUUUUUUUUUCUCAUGUGGAGUAACCUGUAUAUAUCAAGUACGCUAUUUUAUUAAUGUAUUUGUUUUAUAGCAAAAUCAAAAUUUAUAGCAAGUACUUUUUAGGAAGCAAAAAUAAAAAGGCACCAAGUUUGAACCAAAUGGAUCCCCCCAAAUAAAUAAAUAAACAAAAAUCAUUUGAAACAACUGCAUUUACCCCUAUCGUUGAAUUCAAUCAAGUGUCUAUUUGUACCAAUUCUGUGUGACUGCCUGUUGUCGAUUCUUUCAGGGGGCUUCAGACUUAUGUUUGCAGCCAUGCUGCCAGGAGAAUUGCAGUGAAGAACACUCUUUAAACCAUCAUGAUAUUCUGGAAGUGAAUGAGGAUGAAAAUUUGGUGUGCGUUGAAAAUCAAAUUUUAAUUGGCCCUGCAUGCAACCAGGCUCAGCAAGGCCAGUUUGGUUGCCAGCCGAUUCAAGCCUCAAAACAGAGGACAAGCUAUUAGGAACACUUGAAGAAAUUCCAUGAUGACAUUCAGAUUCCAGAAAUGGGGCUUGUGUUGCAGAUGGUAAUCCCAAGAGAGUUCCAUUAUCCAUGCCAUUGGAAAUAACAGUGAUUCCAGCAGCUGAGUUUUUGGGAGGGCUACUUUGCUGUGCAUGAGGGCCACACUCAUCAUGUUCCAACAAACAUCUUGAACCCCCGAUAUGGCUUGACUCAAGCUUCAUUUGCUUCCCUGCAAUAUCACUCCUGUUCAACGCACGAAGAGCAGCUUCUGCAGCUCGAACAUCAUAAAAUUCGAUAAGUUUGUGAUGACCUCUGUGUGGGGCUUCACGAAUCUCCUUAAUUUCUCCAUACACCCCAAAAAUCUGA